UACGAAGGUCCCAAGCGUUAUCCGGAUUUAUUGGGUUUAAAGGGUGCGUAGGCGGGUUAUUAAGUCAGUGGUGAAAGCCUACAGCUUAACUGUAGAACUGCCAUUGAUACUGAUGAUCUUGAGUAUGAUUGAGGUUGGCGGAAUGUGUCAUGUAGCGGUGAAAUGCUUAGAUAUGACACAGAACACCGAUUGCGAAGGCAGCUAACUAAGUCAUAACUGACGCUGAUGCGCGAAAGCGUGGGGAGCAAACAGG
rnacentral:rRNA from 1 species